rnacentral:rRNA from 1 species
GGAGUUAGCCGGUGCUUCUUCUGUGAGUGAUGUCCUUCCUGCCGGCUAUUAACCCGCAGGCCUUCUUCCUCACUGAAAGUGCUUUACAACCCGAAGGCCUUCUUCACACACGCGGCAUGGCUGGAUCAGGGUUGCCCCCAUUGUCCAAUAUUCCCCACUGCUGCCUCCCGUAGGAGUCUGGGCCGUGUCUCAGUCCCAGUGUGGCUGAUCAUCCUCUCAGACCAGCUACGGAUCGUCGCCUUGGUGAGCCGUUACCUCACCAACCAGCUAAUCCGACAUAGGCUCAUCCGAUAGCGCGAGGCCCGAAGGUCCCCCGCUUUCCCCCGUAGGGCGUAUGCGGUAUUAGCCUGGGUUUCCCCAGGUUAUCCCCCACUACCGGGCAGAUUCCUAUGCAUUACUCACCCGUCCGCCGCUCGCCACCAGGGAGCAAGCUCCCCGUGCUGCCGCUCGACUUACAUGUGUUAGGCCUGCCGCCAGCGUUCAAUCUGAGCCAUGAUCAAACUCUGA